UCCAACAAAGAGAUUUAGGCCAAGUAGCAUAAAAUUAAACAACAAACAUGGUUAAUUUAGCACAAUAUUAAAUAAAUGAAACAGCCCCUUUUAAUUAUAACCCAGCUAAUAUGCCAAACCUGUGUAAUAUAGUAAUACAGAUUUUAGAAACAAUAAAAUCUUUAUUACGCAAGGCAGGCAAACAAACAUUAUAGUUGGAUGAUGUGUGCAUUCUGGUACCAGUUUGCCUCCCCCGAAUUAUUUUCAUCAGCCACCCCAUGACUGUGGAAUGACCUGCAGGUAGAGCUCCUACAGCUAGAUCAGCCUUUGUGAUCGUCCAGGAAGGGCAAGGAUCUAGAAAACAUGUUCACCUGUCCAACUCUUGAUGGAUACUGAAAACGGCAGAGUCAAAGCUACCAAAUUAGACCUACCCCACCUCUCUACCCUAACUACAGCCCACACAGUGUCCCUUCGAAAUAUGGGAGAUCUAUAUGUCUCAUCCUGGAUAUCUUAUCUCUCCACAUAGUGAAACAAUUUUAUAUUUACCUGGAUCUCACUUUGUUGACAUGAAUCCCAGUUCAUAGAAAGGUGAUUGUGUCUAAAUUGUGCUAAAAUCAAUAUAACUCAAGAAUCAUGAUUGCCAGUGACUUAAGUCCCAUGGUCCCUAUAGACAAAAUGUAUAUAAAUAAAAAUGUAAUGUCCAUUUGUGAGGACCUCAUAUCUCCCAAACUAUUUCACAGAUUGCAACGAAAUGUGUACACAACAUAGCAUUUGAACUGCCAAGUGUUUUAAGCUAUUCAUAUACCUACUAUGGCAAACCUGUCACACCUGAGACAGGUAAAACAUACUCCUUAUCAAUGGCCAAUCAGUCUCCACCUCCCUUAGCAAUGGCCAAGCAGUCAUCUCCUCCCUUAGCAACUGCUGUAGCAGAUGGCUCCUUCCCUUAGCAGCAGUGCUAGCAACGGCCAAGCAGUCUCCUCCCUUUAGCAACUGGUGUGGGCGGGACUGCGCCUCCUCACCACUCAGUUUGGCUUGACAAGUUAUUCGAAGCCAAGGCUCUGUGGCCUAGCUAUGGAAAGGAGGGAUACUGAGAGUGAAAAUCUUUAUUGUGGGCCCCAGCAAGGAGGAAGAAAAGGACCAGGGGAACACAGGAAAACAUGGCACACAGAAAGAGGAGGAGGAAGAUGGCAUGGCCAAUACUCUCCACUUUGUCCUGUUCAUGCUCGGAUGACCCAAACAAUUACCGUCCGGUCAGCCUCACGUCGAUACCAGGCAAGAUUCUGGAAAAGAUCAUUAUGGAAGUGGUCUGCAAACACUUAGAAACAAAUGCAGUCAUUGCAAAUAGUCAACACGGAUUUACCAAAAACAAGUAAUGCCAGACUAAUCUGAUCUCUUUUUUCGAUAGAGUUACGAGUUGGGUCGAUACAGGGAAUGCUGUGGAUGUAGCCUACCUGGAUUUCAGUAAGGCCUUCAACAAAGUCCCCCACGACCUUCUGGCAAACAAAUUAGUAAAAUGUGGGCUAGACAAAACUACAGUUAGGUGGAUCUGUAAUUGGCUAAGCGAACGAACCCACAGGGUGCUCACCAAUGCGUCGUCUUUAUCUUGGAAAGAAGUCACGAGUGGAGUGCCGCAGUGCUGGACCCGGUUUUGUUCAACAUCUUUAUUCACGACUUAGACGAAGGGUUAGA